rnacentral:rRNA from 1 species
GGUGUAGGUGGCUAUGCAAGUUAGAUGUGAAAGCCCCGGGCUCAACCCGGGAAGUGCAUCUAAAACUACGUAGCUUGAGUGCGGGAGAGAAAAGCAGAAUUCCUGGUGUAGUGGUGAAAUACGUAGAUAUCAGGAGGAACUCCGGUGGCGAAGGCGGCUUUUUGGCCCAGCACUGACACUCAGACCCGAAAGCGUGGGUAGCAAACA